GGUGACCUGCGGAGGGACAUUACACAAAUAUGAAGGCGGGCUGGAACCUCUCGGGGUUACAGCCUUGCUGAAUUAUUCACCCUUGUCUUUUGCGUACUUCUUGUUUCCUUGGUGGGUUCGCCCACCACUAGGACAAACAUAAACCUUUUGUAAUUGCAAUCAGCGUCAGUAACAAAUUAAUAAUUACAACUUUCAACAACGGAUCUCUUGGUUCUGGCAUCGAUGAAGAACGCAGCGAAAUGCGAUAAGUAGUGUGAAUUGCAGAAUUCAGUGAAUCAUCGAAUCUUUGAACGCACAUUGCGCCCUUUGGUAUUCCAAAGGGCAUGCCUGUUCGAGCGUCAUUUGUACCCUCAAGCUUUGCUUGGUGUUGGGCGUCUUGUCUCUAGCUUUGCUGGAGACUCGCCUUAAAGUAAUUGGCAGCCGGCCUACUGGUUUCGGAGCGCAGCACAAGUCGCACUCUCUAUCAGCAAAGGUCUAGCAUCCAUUAAGCCUUUUUUCAACUUUUGACCUCGGAUCAGGUAGGGAUACCCGCUGAACUUAAG
rnacentral:rRNA from 1 species